GUUACUGCUUCUAUAACACGCGAUCCCGCUUCCACUCGGCGACCACCGGGCACCGCCGCCGGUACACCGCGCAUCGAAUCGCCACCAGUGCCGAUUCUGCUGACCCCUCGCCAUCGCUGGCGGGCGAAUCGACGCCAUGGCCGCCGCGCGCCGGGGCCGCGCCGACGGUGCCAACGGCGUCGUCCGUCCCCGCCCCCGCGACCGUGUCGUCGGCGUCAGCGGAAGCAUGGCGGGGCGCGUGGCGGUCCUCGCUUUCUGUGUCGCCGGGAUCUGGUCCGCCUACAUCUACCAGGGCGUCCUCCAGGAGACUCUAUCCACGAAGCGGUUCAGGCCGGAGGCGCGGCGGUUCGAGGCUUCGAGCACCUUGCGUUCCUCAACUUCGCGCAGAAUGUCGUAUGCUUCGUCUGGUCCUUCCUAAUGAUUAAGUUGUGGUCGAGCGGGAGCGGGAGUAGCUCCGACGGCCGUGCGCCGCUAUCGAAGUACUGGGGCGUCAGCGUAACCAAUACCAUCGGGCCGACCAUGGGGAUCGAGGCGCUCAAGUACAUUAACUAUCCGGCUCAGGUUUGGUUCCGCCUGCUAUUGCCGUCUCACCUUGGUUGUUAUAUGCACUGUCCCGGACAUUGUGUCAUGUUAAUGUUAGGUUCCUGUCGCGGGCACAUGGGUAAUAUUGUCACUGACGCUUAUGGAUUGAGAUGUUCCGAUAGAGUUAAUUGACUAUAUAGGGAGCUCUUUGGAAGUGCUUCCUCAAGUGAACAUUUAGGAAGAACAUUGCAUAGAUUGGAUUGUAUGCGAUAUGGCGACUGGCGAGCGUGUGCGGUAUCGACCAUCGGCAAUCCAUCUCUAGGUGUUGGCAAAAUCUUCUAAGAUGAUCCCCGUAAUGCUGAUGGGAACCCUGCUCUAUGGUGUGAAGUACACACUUCCAGAGUAUUUUUGUACCUUUCUUGUUGCUGGCGGUGUGUCCUCCUUUGCGUUGUUGAAGACAAGCUCCAAGAGACCAAGACAGUUAAGAAGCUUGCCAACCCUAAUGCACCUCUUGGCUAUACAUUGUGCUUCCUCAACUUAGCUUUUGAUGGGUAUACUAACUCGACCCAAGAUUUAAUAAAGUCAAGGUACCCAAAGACUAAUCCAUGGGAUAUAAUGCUUGGCAUGAACCUCUGGGGGACCAUAUAUAAUGCUGUAGUUAUGUUUGUUGCGCCAUUACUAUUCAGUAACUGGCCAUAUGCAGAUGGUUUCGAGGCAUUGAGAUUUUGCCAGGAGAACCCAGAGGUGGCCUGGGACAUUUUUCUGUUCUGCCUAUGUGGCGCCGUGGGUCAGAAUUAUAUCUUCUUAACCAUCAGCAGGUUCGGCGCUCUUACUAACACAACGAUCACUACCACUGUAUUUUUGUUCUACUGUCCCGAAAGUAACCUGUUAUAGAAUUAGAAUCAAGGUUUUUAUUCACGUAUACCUCUUAUAUUGUGUUUGGAAGAGCAGUGAUGUCUUGGACAUUUUGGAGACGACUUAAAUUUUACUAAGCCACAGGCCACAGGUUAUUUGGAUGAGUAAAAUUGGUCUAGGAAUGUUUAUAGUAAGGAUUUAGGUUAUGUUCCCAAUCGUAAUGAAUAUUUGUUGUCAGGAGAUGUUAUGAGACCAUUAUUCAUGUAGAUAUACGAAUACAACGGGUGCUCAAUGCUCCAUUACGAAAUGUAAAUGACAGACUGAUACUGGU